UUGCAAUGUUGUUGCUGACGAUCCUUGUGAAUGACAACUGGUUUUGUCCUGUAUGUUCUUUAGAGGAACGAUUCACAAAGGAUAAAGAUUCAAGGUCAGAUCUUCAUCCCAACGGCAGGGGGCAAGCUGGGGGAGAGGCCGUCCACUGCGUCAGUGCAGGUAUGCAGCUGUAUCCUGAGACUGAAGGGGAGUCUGGGGUGCAGAGCGUACAUGAACCCUGCAAGGACCACUGCCAAGACCACCACCAUGUACAUCAAGAGGGACAUCAUCAGGAGUGUCUACAGCAGUGCCAAAAACUUCUUUCAACAUCUGAUAAAUGAUGAAAACUCAGCGAAGGCAUUCAUGGGCUCCCAGGCCUUGGCCAAGCGGGUGUUCUUCCUGGUUCCCGACACUGGCAUCUCUCUGUGUGACUAGACACUCUCCUCUGAGACUGAGGCAGCUGUCCAGGAGAGGGUGAGGGAGUGGGCAGGCUUCACCAUCCCUGAUGGGCAGCUCCAUAUCACCCAGCAGCUGGUACAGGGAAGGUUGGAGUGGCACCAAGGUGUGGCAGUGGCUUCAGGAGUCUCCCUAGUGGCCUGUCUCAUCUAUAGGCUCUUCCUAGAAGAGUGACGAUGUGGCCCACGGAGUCAAGCGGUUCAAUCCCAGGAUCUGGCAUGCAAAGGGCAUCAGAACAUCCCAGUGAUUCCCGUAAAUUAAAGGGGCCUGUGCAAUGAUAUGGAAGUUAAGAUGUGUUUUUUCCAUUUCUAUUAACACAUUCCAGUAACAGAUGACAGUGUGUCUAGGAAUACACUUCAUGGGUUCAUUGUUAGAGGGGCCCAUUCAUAUUUUCGGCGUGAGACGGCAAAGUCACGUGGAAGGAGCAAUUUAUUUUCACGUGAGAUCAGAGCAGCUGCUAUAGUUUUACACUCUAACGGGAGCAUCAUGCCCCAGACCGGGUCCUCAGCCCUGUGUCAUGCCUCAUGAUGUGACAUCAUCAGAAAUUUGCUUCCUGCAACACAAACUCAAAAAAGUUCUGGGACACUGUAAAGUCCUUGGAGAAUAAGAGCACCUCCUCCCAGCUGCCCUCUGCACUGAGGAUAGGAAACUCUGUCACCACCGAUUAAUCCACUAUAAUUGAGAAUUUCAAUAAGCAUUUUUCUACAGCUGGCCAUGUUUUCUACCUGGCUAUCCCUAACCCGGUCAACAGCACUGCACCCCCACAGCAACUCGCCCAAGCCUUCCCCAUUUCUCCUUCUCCCAAAUCCAGUCAGCUGAUGUUCUGAAAGAGCUGCAAAAUCUAGACCCCUACAAAUCAGCCGUGCUAGACAAUCCGGACCCUUUCUUUCUAAAAUGAUCUGCCGAAAUUGUUGCAAUCCCUAUUACUAGCCUGUUCAACCUCUCUUUCGUGUCGUCUGAGAUUCCCAAAGAUUGGAAAGCAGCUGCGGUCAUCCCCCUCUUCAAAGGGUGGGACACUCUUGACCCAAACUGCUGCAGACCUAGAACUAUCCUACCAUGCCUCUCUAAAGUCUUCGAAAGCCAAGUCAACAAACAGAUUACCGACCAUUUCGAAUCCCACCGCACCUUCUCUGCUAUGCAAUCUGGUUUCAGAGCUGGUCAUGGGUGCACCUCAGCCACGCUCAAGGUCCUAAAUGAUAUCUUAACCACCAUCGAUA